rnacentral:rRNA from 1 species
CCUACGGGGAGCAGCAGUGGGGAGAGUGCACAAGGGGGGAAACCCGGAGGCAGAGACGCCGCGUGUGGGAAGACGGUCCUCGGGAUUGUAAACCACUGUCCCCAGGGACGAAGAUGACGGUACCUGGGGAGGAAGCUCCGGCCAACGACGGGCCAGCAGCCGCGGUAAGACGUAGGGAGCGAGCGUUGUCCGGAAUUACUGGGUGUAAAGGGAGCGGAGGCGGGGAGGCAAGUUGGGUGUCAAAACUACCGGCUCAACUGGUAGUCGCACUCAAAACGGCAGCUCUUGAGUGAAGUAGAGGCAGGCUGCCUUCCUCGUGUUGCGGUGACAUGCGUAGCUCUUAGGAG